rnacentral:misc_RNA from 1 species
UUUCCGUAGGUGAACCUGCGGAAGGAUCAUUAUUGGAUUUUGGAACUUCAGGCUGCUGCUGGCUCUCCUCGGAGGGCAUGUGCACGCUUGUUGUCCAUUAUUUCUCCCACUGUGCACAAAUUGUAGACCUUUCAGUAGGCCUAUGUUGUUUUUCACAAUCUCUGAAUGUAGUAGAAUGGUUUUGAAUCUUGGGAAAUACAAUACAACUUUCAGCAACGGAUCUCUUGGCUCUC